rnacentral:rRNA from 1 species
UGGGGAAUUUUGGACAAUGGGCGAAAGCCUGAUCCAGCAAUGCCGCGUGUGUGAAGAAGGCCUUCGGGUUGUAAAGCACUUUUGUCCGGAAAGAAAUCCUUGGCUCUAAUACAGUCGGGGGAUGACGGUACCGGAAGAAUAAGCACCGGCUAACUACGUGCCAGCAGCCGCGGUAAUACGUAGGGUGCAAGCGUUAAUCGGAAUUACUGGGCGUAAAGCGUGCGCAGGCGGUUUGCUAAGACCGAUGUGAAAUCCCCGGGCUCAACCUGGGAACUGCAUUGGUGACUGGCAGGCUAGAGUAUGGCAGAGGGGGGUAGAAUUCCACGUGUAGCAGUGAAAUGCGUAGAGAUGUGGAGGAAUACCGAUGGCGAAGGCAGCCCCCUGGGCAAUACUGACGCUCAUGCACGAAAGCGUGGGGAGCAAACAGGAUUAGAUACCCUGGUAGUCCACGCCCUAAAACGAUGUCAACUAGUUGUUGGGGAUUCAUUUCCUAGUAACGUAGCUAACGCGUGAAGUUGACCGCCUGGGGAGUACGGUCGCAAGAUU